rnacentral:rRNA from 1 species
AUUGAACGCUGGCGGCAGGCCUAACACAUGCAAGUCGAGCGAGCGGCGGACGGGUGAGUAAUGUCUGGGAAUCUGCCCGAUAGAGGGGGAUAACUACUGGAAACGGUGGCUAAUACCGCAUACUAUCGGAUGAACCCAUAUGGGAUUAGCUAGUAGGUGGGGUAAAGGCUCACCUAGGCGACGAUCCCUAGCUGGUCUGAGAGGAUGAUAAGCCAAACUGGAACUGAGACACGGCCCAGACUCCUACGGGAGGCAGCAGUGGGGAAUAUUGCACAAUGGGCGCAAGCCUGAUGCAGCCAUGCCGCGUGUAUGAAGAAGGCCUUAGGGUUGUAAAGUACUUUCAGCGGGGAGGCGUUACCCGCAGAAGAAGCACCGGCUAACUCCGUGCCAGCAGCCGCGGUAAUAC